AGCAGCCGCGGUAAUUCCAGCUCCAAUAGCGUAUAUUAAAGUUGUUGCAGUUAAAAAGCUCGUAGUUGAAUUUCGGGAUCAGUUUGUUGGUCGUGCUUCGGUACGUACUGUCAUUACUGGUUUCUACCUUCUGAAGAACCUUGAUGUCAUUAAUUUGGUGUCUUGGGGAAUCAGGACUGUUACUUUGAAAAAUUAGAGUGUUUAAAGCAAGCAUACGCUUGAAUACAUUAGCAUGGAAUAAUGAAAUAGGACGUUUGAUUCUAUUUUGUUGGUUUCUAGGAUCGACGUAAUGAUUAAUAGGGAUAGUUGGGGGCAUUAGUAUUCAAUUGUCAGAGGUGAAAUUCUUGGAUUUAUUGAAGACUAACUACUGCGAAAGCAUUUGCCAAGGAUGUUUUCAUUAAUCAAGAACGAAAGUUAGGGGAUCGAAGACGAUCAGAUACCGUCGUAGUCUUAACCAUAAACUAUGCCGACUAGGGAUCGGAUGAUGUUAUUUUUAAUGACUCAUUCGGCGCCUUACGGG
rnacentral:rRNA from 1 species